CUUUACUGACGCUAAAGCUCGAAGGUGCGGGUAUCGAACAGGAUUAGAUACCCUGGUAGUCCGCACGGUAAACGAUGGAUGCCCGCUGUUUGCGAUAUACUGUGAGCGGCCAAGAGAAAUCGUUAAAGCAUCCCACCUGGGGAGUACGCCGGCAACGGUGAAACUCAAAGGAAUUGACGGGGGCCCGCACAAGCGGAGGAACAUGUGGUUUAAUUCGAUGAUACGCGAGGAACCUUACCCGGGCUUGAACUGCAGGAGAAGGAUGCAGAGAUGUUGACGCCCUUCGGGGCUCCUGUGGAGGUGCUGCAUGGUUGUCGUCAGCUCGUGCCGUGAGGUGUCGGCUUAAGUGCCAUAACGAGCGCAACCCUUUUCUUCAGUUGCCAUCAGGUGAUGCUGGGCACUCUGGAGACACUGCCACCGUAAGGUGUGAGGAAGGUGGGGAUGACGUCAAAUCAGCACGGCCCCUACGUCCGGGGCUACACACGUGUUACAAUGGGUGGUACAGAGAGUCGGUCGUCUGCAAAUGCGAUCCAAUCCUUAAAGCCAUCCUCAGUUCGGAUUGGGGUCUGCAACCCGACCCCAUGAAGCUGGAUUCGCUAGU
rnacentral:rRNA from 1 species